rnacentral:lncRNA from 1 species
UGAACCCAGGGGCCCUUAACCACUAAGCCACAUCCCCAGCCCUUUUUAUAUUUUAUUUAGAGACAGGGUCUUGAUGAGUUACUUAGGGCCUCACCGAGUUGCUGAGGCUGGCUUUGAACUUGCAGUCCUCCUGCCUCUUGAGCCACUGAGAUUACAGGCGUGCAUCACUGUGCCCCGCUUCCAAAUUCUCUUGAUAAGACAAACUGUUUUUUAAAAACAUUUUUUAGUUGUGGACAGGCACAAUAUCUUUAUUUUAUUUAUUUAUUUUUAUAUGGUGCUGAGGAUUGAACCCAGGGCCUCAAACAUGCCAGGCAAGCGCUCUGCCACUAAGCCACUACUACAGUCCCCCCAUUUAGCAUUUUUUUAAGAACACAGUGAAGCACCUUGCUUAUUACAGAACAAUAAAACCUAGGCAGGGGCUGUGGUUGUGGCUCAGUGGUAGAGCGCUCACCUAGCACAUGUGAGGUGCUGGGUUGGAUCCUCAGCACCUCAUAAAAAUAAAUAAAGUUAUUGUGUCCAACUACAACCAAAAAAAUGUUAAAAAAAAACCAGCCAGUUUGUGCAGAAAACAUGAAACUAUAAAUGAAAAUUACUGGAGUUGUUUUAUAAGCAACAUUGAAUAGAUAAAGUAGAUAGUAAAAGAGAAGCAGGCAGGCAGGGCAUUAAGCCCCAUAACAGCUUCUCUAAACGUGUAGGCUAAUCCAUGAAAUUAACCUGUAGGAACACUGCAAGCAUUCCAGUUGACCCAUUUGUCCCAGAGUAGUGUAAAAAGACAAGUGGGAUGGACCAGAAUGAAGGUUACAGACUCAAGGCCUAAAAGGGCACAACUAAUUAAAGGGUCAUAAGCUGAACCAAUAGGCAUGGCACCUUUCCAAUACCUGACAAGUAUAGCUGCUGACCAGUAGCCUUGGCAUUUUUCUAAUAACCCCUGGACUAGUACACUUAAGUGGCAACCUGCUUUCUAGUCCCCUCUUGCCCAGCAAGAGCUCUGUUUCUUUUCUUCUUACUUGAACAAACGCAACUCUUUCACUCUCUCUUGUCCCUGGGUUUCAUUCUUCAAAUUCUCAGGACAAGAACCUGGAAAGAAGUCACUAGUGGGUGGAUAAGGUCUGCUGCAGCACUAAGUGGGCAUUUGCCUGCUAUGGAGAUAUACAACACAGGUCCCACUCGCUUCCAAAGAAUCCAGUCCUGGUGACUGAGACCAGCUGCUAAUGCUGGAGGGCAUGCCCAGUUGUGAGGAGCUGCUGCUGCUGUGGAGGGCUGUAACUUCACCAGCAACUACAGAAGCAGAGGUGGAGAACCCAGUUUCAACAUCAUAUCCUGUAUAUCAUGUAUUUUUUUUUUAACAAGGUAGUUGUGAAAAUAAAUUUAAAACAGACACACAAGUUUUUAACAAGUUUAGAUUACUGAAUGAAUGUGUGAACAGACUAAUAGUUAAUUUCUGAAAGUACUGUGAGGAGUUAUGAAAUUAAAAACAAAAUCUCCCUAAUUUUAGCUCAUUAUAAAAUGAUAUUUCAGAAGUAGAAACUGUAUAUAGCUUAUUAGCAUUUUAAAUCAUCUGUUAUUUUCUUUGACUUAUCUCUGGUUUGGAGCAAGGAAAGUAUAGACUCACUGAUGAAUUUCUAAUUUUUUUCUGUAUUGAGGAUUAAACCGAGAGACACUUCACCACUAAGCUACAUUUGCCAUCCCUUUUAACUUUUUUAUUUUGAUACAGGGUCUCACUUAGUUGCUUAGGGUCUUGUUAAGUUGCUGAGGCUGGCCUUGAAUUUGAGAUCCUCCUGCCUCAGACUACCUAGUCACUGGGAUUAUAGGUGUGUACCACCAUGUCUGGCAGGUCACUUGUGAAUUUUUAAAUCUAUUGAACAAUUCAUAUUUUAAACAAACCUUGAAUAUCAUAUAUAGAUAUAAACAUCAUACACUAAUUAAAAGAAAAUGGAGGGCUGGGGUUGUGGCUCAGUGGUAGAGUACUUGCCUAGCAUGUGUGAGGCACUGGGUUUGAUUCUCAGCACCUCAUAUAAGUAAAAUAAAGGUUCAUCAACAACUAAAAAUUUUUUAAAUAAAAAAAGUAGAUGGAAUAUUUUUCAGGUAUGAAAAGCCUAAGAGUUUUCAUCUCUGGAUUGAGGUUUCCUUGUAAAAACAAAAUAAUUUGAAAUGUCACCUUUUAGAAAAUUUAAAUUUAUUUAUUUAUUUUUUUGGUACUGGGGAUGAGCCCAGUGUGCUUAACCACUGAGCCACAUCUCAUCCCUUUUAUAUUUAUUUAGAGAUAGGGUCUCCCUGAGUUGCAUGGGGCCUUGCUAAGUUGCUGAGGUCAGCUUUGAAUCCUUCUGCCUUAGCUUCCCCAGCCACUGGGAUUACAGGUGUGUGCUACACUCCCAGCUUAAUUUAUUCAUUUUAAUAGUUAGCUUUACUUACAGAAAUCAAGCAUAGUUAACGUUUAAAUUAUUCUUUGCCAAAAAUGUCCUCAAAGGUUGCUAUAUAGAGAAAACAAUGGACAUUAUAUCUCAGUAUCUAGAGACCAAUAUAUUAAUUGGUUAGCAGGCCAGAAAAAUUAGUUACUAGAUUUUAAAGACAUUUUUAUUAUGAACAAAUUUAAAUAAUGUAUUAUAGAUUUAAAGUCAUGUGAAUCAAAAGGCACUUGGACUAAUUUUUUUAUAAGUCAAGUUAGUACCAUGUAAGCAGACUAUAUAUAAGCUAUAUAUAUAUAAACAUAGGUGUAUACAAGAAAAAAAUUAAAACCUAGAAUUAACGUUUGCUAGUUUUAUAAGCCAGACAUUCCAUGCUAGUUUUAUAAGCCAGAAAUUUGCAUUUCCAAAGUUGAAACUAGGAAGAAAUUUGCAUCUUAAAGAAUGAGGUUAGCAAACUUGAAUGGGGAAUUUGUUUGCCAAAGAUAGAAAUAUUUCAGAGAAAAUUAAAAGCCCUAAUCAGACAAAACAAAAUAUAUAUAAUUUAGCCAGAUGCAAUGGUGCAUGACUGUAAUUCUAGUGACAAGGUUGAGGCAGGAGGAUCACAAGUUCAAGGCCAGUUUGGGCAACUUAGUGAUAUACUGUCUCAAAGUAAAAGACAAAAAGGGAUGAACUGUGGAUGUAGCUCAGUGGUAGAACACCCUGAGUUUAACCUCCAGUAUUCCCCCUCCAAAAUAUAUAGGCAAAUAGGUUUUAUAUUCAAAUAUAUCUUUGAAGAAAAAUGGAAGAAACUUCAUUCCAUCUUUAAAAUCCCUGACAAUUAGCAAAAUUUUUAAAGGAGAGGAGGCAAGGGAAUGAGUGACAAAAGGACUGGAAUUAUACAUAUGUAGAUGCAGGUAGGCCUGAAUGGGUAAUCUUUCCAUCUUUGGGCUUGUCAGUUUGGGGGGUAGUGGUCACAGUCCCUCCAACCUCCCCUCUUAGCAUGAGGAAUGUGUUCCCAGUUUGGGUGAGGAGUGGCAUCCAAAUUUUAUCUAUUGCAAUAAUUAGAGCUGAAGGUGUAGCUCAGUGGUAUCGUGCCAUGCAUAGCAUGCAUGGGGCCUUGGGCUCAAUCCCCAGUAUCAAUAAAUUUAAAAACUAUUUUAUAAUGGGUGGAAAGGGGGAUGUUUUAAUUCUGUUUGCAUGCUUAAUUUUUUGUUUCUGUCCUCAAUUCAUUUUGUUUACCAUUGUGUCUCCUGUCCCACAGUGUCUAUCCUAAGUGUGGCAUUUAGAGAAUAAAUUUGUUGGGUGAGUAAAUGAAUGAAUGCUCACAGGUAAACAAUUCUAACAGAGAGGGGCUAUAAUGGAGUUUGAGCAUAAGGAACUUUGUAGGACAUGAGGAUUAACUUUGAGCAGUUCAUAGAACAUUUCACUGAGUGAAGCUGUUUCCUUUCAGAAUUUUCUCUUUUUUUAAUAUUUUAUUUUAUUAGUUUUAGGUGGACACAAUAUCUUUAUUUUUAUUUUUAUAUGGUGCUGAGAAUCGAUUCCAGUGCCUCAUGCAUGCCAGGCAAGCGCGUAUUCAAUUGAGCCACAUCCCCAGCCCCAGUUCCAGAACUUUCUAAGUGUAUUCAAAGCCAUCAGAGGGCACUGCAUCUGGGAACGAAAUAAAGUGAUGCUAGAUAGCCACCAGAUGGCGAUAUUGCAGAGAGAUUUGAGCAGCAGAGGAAAUGGCCAGCCCUAUUCCAGCUAAGAGCCCAUAUUUACUUCUAAAUGAGUUUUUGUGUCCUGUCCACAAAAGUUAAAGCUGUGAUUUCUUUUCUUUUGUUUUGCUAGUUUUGAAACACUUCAAUUCCUGCCCAAGGCUGCUCUGGGAGACAUCUGGUGUUCUAGUUGGUCAGUCAUUACCAGCCAGAGAAGAGAAAUGAUGCCGAGUAUUUUUCCAGUCCUUCAGAUGCUGGAAUUCUAAUUCCCACUCCACUGAUCUGCUGUCUCCCAUGUAAUGCCCUUAUGUGGAUGGAUUUAAAGAGGUGAGGAGAGAAGCAAACUUGUAAACACACAUGCGCGUGCGUGUGUGUGUGUGUGUAUACUAAUGAUUGUACCCGGAGCGCUCUCUAUCACUGAGUUACAUUCCCCAACCCUUUUUAUUAUUUUAUUUUGAUACGGGGUCUUGCUAAAUUACUGAGGCUGGCCUUGAACUUGAAAUCUUCCUGCCUCGGCCUCCUGAGUUGUUGGGGUUUCAGGUAUGUGCCACUGUACCCAGAUAAAACUGUUAUUUUUUGAGACAUCAGGUACUAUAGUCAGACAUUUUAUAUAAUUAUUUAAUUGCCAUGAAACCCUGAGAGAUUAAUUUUAUCUUUCAUUUUAUACCUCAGCCUGCUUCAGCAAUUAAUAACAGGCAUUAUCAGUCCUCUUUCAGUUAUACCCUCAUCUGACAACACAUAUUAUUUUCAGACAGCUCCCAGACAAUCUCAUCAUAUUAUUUCAUUUUGAAGUACUUUUUUGCUGGGCACAGUGGCACACACCAGUAAUCCCAGCAGCACAGUCUGAGGCAGGAGGGUCACAAGUUUGAAGCCAGUCUCAUUAACUUAGUGAGGUCCUAAGAAACUUGGUGAGACCCUGUCUCAAAUAAAAAAAUAAAAAGGGCUAGAGAUGUAGCUCAGUGAUGAAGCAUCUCUGGGUUCAAUCCCCAGUACACAACAAACAAAAAAACCUCCCAAAACUCAAUAGCUCUAAAAGAUAAACACUCUUUAACACAAGGCAAUAACAUUAUAACACUAAAAAACCCUACAGUAAUUCCUUAACAUCAUCAAAUAUCUAGCCCUGUUAAAUUUACCUGGUUUCUCAUCUUUUAAAAUUGCAUGUAUUUUAUUCAAAUCAGGAUUCAGACAGGUUUAUAAAUUGCAUUUAUUUAAUAGAUGAGUUAUGAGUCUUUUUAUAUAGAAGGAGACUGAAGAGAAGAGUAUCUAUUCAGAAUUCAGAUAAAAUUCUCUUCUGAAUUAAACCUAGUACUAGAUGUUGGGGGUCACAAAGAUUAGGAAGAUAUAGUCCCUAACGAACUCAGUUGUGCGCUCCUAUUAAUGUUCUGUGAGUAUAUUUAUCACAGGACUUAUCACUUAUGAUUAGUAUGCAUUUAUGUGUCUAUCAUUCCGGGUGGUAAGUCCACUAAGAGGUAGGGAUGAUUUCAUGUUCAACAUUGCAGUUUUUAUACUUAGCAUAGAUCUUGGCAUACAACAGGGGAUGGAGUAAUUUUGUCUAACUGGGAAUCAAUAAAGAGUUUCCAGCCAGGCACAGUGGCACACACCUGUUAUCUCAGUGGCUUGGGAGGCUGAGGAAGGAGGAUCAUGAAUUCAAAGCCAGCCUCAGCAAUAGCGAGGUACUCAGCCACUCAGUGAGACUCUAAGUAAAAUACAAAAUAGGGCUGGGGAUGUGGCUCAGUGGUUCAGUGCCUCUAAGUUCAAUCCUCAGUACUAAAAGAACAAACAAACAAACAAACAAAUAAAACCAAAAACAAAAAAACAGUUUCUAGCAGGGCAGUGACAAUGUAAAGUUUUCACUAGUGGUAGAUAAAAGGUUGUCAGUUGAUUUCAAAGCAUAAUGACUGGAGACAGACUAUUGCAGAGUCCGGGCUAGAAAGGAUGAGAGUGAGUAUGGAGAGAAGAUGGAUUGGAGAGUUACUGAGUAUGUAAACGGUCAGGAUUGAGUAAUUUCUUACAUGCAGAGAAUGAAGAGUUUCAGGCUUGGGUGAUGGUGGUGUCACCAACAAAUUCAGAAUGAAGAGGAAAAGCAGGUUUAAGAUGCGGAAGAAAAGUUCAGUUUGGGACAUGCUGAGGUUAAGGUGACUGUUCAGGAGAUGUCAUCUAUAGAGAUGUUUGCAACCAUCUGGGUGUGGUGGUAUACACCUGUAAUUCUAGCGGUUUAGGAGGCUGAGGUAGGAGAAUCCCAAGUUCAAAGCCAACCUCCGCAACUUAGUGAGUCCCUAAGCAACUCAGUGAGACCCUGUCUCAAAAUAAAAAUAUAAAAAAGGUUAUUUUAAGCCAAAACUCAUGAGAGAGGUCAGGAGUAAAGAACUAGGAGUCAUGAGCAUAUAGAUAGAGCUUAAAAUUGGAUGCCAUCACUCAGGGACGGGACAUGCAGCAAAACAGGAAGUGGGUUUAGGAUGGAACUCUGUGGAACCUUACAAGGAAAUUGAAGAAUGAGAAAGAAAAGGAAUAGCAAGGGGAAUUGGAAGAAGACCAAGAAAGUAUGGUACCUCGGCAGCCAAAGGAGUUCAGGAGGUGGGCAAUGGGAGUAGUUAACACUUGAGAGGCAGUUAGGGAGGUGAUGGCAGAGAAUAGUUGAGUAUGGCUGGGGUGUGGGGCAUUGUAGAAGAGUGGCAGGAGGUUAGUCCAGAAAGGUCAGUUAAGCCUUUAUCCAAAAGGGCCUUGGCCACCAGGUGAAGGGGUUAAGGCUUCCUUUUGGUAAAUGGGAGUCACUGAGGAGAUUCAAGUAGGAGUGACCUCGUUAGAUCGAGGUAUUUUAGAAAAGUCAGGUUGAGGCAGCGUUUAGAGGAAUGGGACUGGGGGCAGGCCUCAUUAAGGCAAAGUAGGAAUAGGUUGUGGAGGAAGGGAGAGUUUCCCAAAAUCUUUAGUAGAUAAAAUUUGCAGCCUCCCCAACCCAAAAAAUAGCUAAUGCUCACUGAGCCAUGUUCUAGGUAGUAUUCUAAGUACAUACAUCGAUUAUCUUGCUAAAUCCUUACAACCAACCUGUGAGAUAGAUGUCAUUAAUGUCAUUUUAUGCACAAUGAAACAGGAACAUAGAGAUAAAGAAAUUUGGUGAACAGAGCUAGUAAGUGGCAGAGCAUAAAUUCAAACUCAAGUGGCUUGACUUUUUAUUUUUUAUUUUUUUGGUACUGGGGAUUGAACUCAGGGGCACUCAAUCACUGAGCCACAUCUCCAGCCCUAUUUUGUAUUUUAUUUAGAGGCAGGGUCUCACUGAAUUGCUUAGCUCCUCACUUUUGCUGAGGCUGGCUUUGAACUUGCAAUCCUCUUGCCUCAGCCUCUUGAGCCACUGGGAUUACAGGCAUGUGCUGCUGCACCCAGCUAAGUGGCUUGACUCUUAACCCAUACUGUUUUUUUUUAAAUAAUUUUUUUAGUUAUAGAUGGAC